UGCUACGGCCAUACCACCCUGAACACGCCCGAUCUUGUCUGAUCUCGGAAACUAAGCAGGGUCGGGCCUGGUUAGUACUUGGAUGGGAGACCUCCUGGGAAUACUGGGUGCUGUAGGCU
rnacentral:rRNA from 1 species